rnacentral:miRNA from 1 species
GAGCCAGGCCGGGCCGCAGCGGCGGACGCCGGAGCUGGGCCGGGCUGCGCCAGCAGCGAGCGGGGCCGGGCGGGGCCGAGCCGGGCGGAGCCGGGCCGCGGAGGCGAGCGGAGCGGGGCGGGGCCGGUUCAGGC